UUUAUUUUAAUUGCAUUUUCCUUGAAUUUUUUGUAUUUUUUUAUUUUAAAGAAUAGUGUAUUGUUAAGAUCUAGCAAAUUACCCAUUUACACUAAAAAUCAACAUGUUUAAGGAUUCAUUUUGAACUAAAAUAGAGAAAUCAAAUGAGUAGCACUAAACCAGCUUCCAUAAAACAGCAUUUAAAGAUUGUUUAAGCAAAGAAAGCGGUAUUCACAUCUUGGAAACAUUGCCUCCUACCCCACUGCACUGUUCCCACCCACCAUGUUGGGGCUGGUACUGUGUAGUCUCACUGGGCCACAGUGGGUGGGGUUUCCUGUUAAGAUGCAUGACAGAGCUCAGAUGUGACUGGUGUUCUAUUCGUCUUAUGGAACAUUUAACUGAAAGAACAAAGUCUGUCUGCACCCAACACUUACCACCUGCCCUAACAAUCAGGCAGAGAGCCAUGAGGAGAAGACUGGGGGCUCUGCUGGGUCUUCUGUGGGUCCAGAUUUUCAGAGUGAGGGGGAUGCAGGUUCAACAGAGUCCUUCAACCUUGACAGCCCAGGAGGGAGUCAGCUCUUCCUUGACCUGCAAUUUCUCCAACACAGCGAACAGUGUGCAGUGGUUCCGACAGAAUCCUGGGAGCAGCCUCGUCAAUCUGUUCUUCAUAGCUACAGGGACAAAGCAGAACGGAAGGUUGAAGGCAACAGUUAACUCUCAGGAGCGCUACAGCACCCUCCACAUCACGAGCUCCCAACUGGAAGACUCAGGCACCUACCUCUGUGCAGCAGACACACAGUGCUCCCAGGGCGUCUGCUGCCUGGACCCAAACUGCAGCUGGGCCUGCAGCUGUAACCCCGCCCAUCUCCCAGGGAGGCACGUGGCUUCUGCAUAGCAUUUGCACUGCUUUGUGCUUUCUGCUUGAUGUUGGAGCACUUUUAUCUCUGCUAAAAUUAGACAUUUCUGCGUUGUCAUUUAACUCGGUUUUCAUACCUUUUUCAUCCCAGAAAUUAUUGUGCAGGAAAGAAAGCUCUACUCUGGAACCACUGGAGCAACUAAUAAAAUUGUCAGAACCCAAAUGUAUUGUCACAACAAAUGCCCUGGCACAGUGCAGAUACAUUACCUAUAAAUUACUGUGAUAA